GCACCAUCGCGAAAGAAAACAUCUGUUCUCAAGAAGUUGUUAGGGGCCAAGGCUCACCCAUUGCACUCCGGGUGUGCUGACCCUGCGAUUUCCCCCAAAUGGGGGAAACGCCACUGCAUAGUCUAUGGAGUGGGGGACUGCGUGCACGCUCUCCCCUG